AGAAUCAACGCUGGCGGCGUGCCUAACACAUGCAAGUCGCACGAGAAAGGGUAGCAAUACCUGAGUAAAGUGGCGCACGGGUGAGUAACACGUGAAUUAUCUACCUCCGAGUGGGGAAUAACUGAGAGAAAUCUUAGCUAAUACCGCAUAACACUUACGAGUCAAAGGAGCAAUUCGCUUAAGGAGGGGGUCGCGGCAGAUUAGUUAGUUGGCGGGGUAAUGGCCCACCAAGACAGUGAUCUGUA
rnacentral:rRNA from 1 species